CUUUCGAUGCCCCCAACUUCCAUUGCUAAUCAUACCUGGACUGUCAAAAGCUUUCAGACACAAGCAGGAACUGCUCUGGAAUGUAUAUGAAGAGCUUUGCAUCACUUAUACUGUGGAUGGUUUUUAUUAUUCUGUUCAGUUUUGGGGUUAAUGCCAAAGAAUCCCCUCUGGGGGUGUUGUGGAUUCAGCCUGUCAGUUUCUGCCUUUUUUGGCUCCCAGUUUCAAUCAAAUCUAAAUAGAAACCUGAAAUGUCCCAAAAUGCUUUGCAAUUGCUAGGUAUGUCUGGAACUAGGAGUCUUCUGUAAAUGGGAGGUGUUUUUCUAUCUCUCAAUGGAAGCGGCAAUUUGAAAGGCAUCUCCCUGAAAUCCAGGUGCCACUGACAUUACCUGAGCUUCCAGUGACAAAGCUGGAUCUAGAAGCACCUCUGGAGUGCAAGCCCACUCCUGUAUAGGGAGCGCAAGUCCAUCCAAGGGCAAGCAAUUGACCAAAUUCUUGGACACAGGAACCAUUCAGCCGCAGUGCCUUUUUCUUACCAGGAUUUAAGCUAAGCUUGUUUUCCUCAUCCAUCUUCACCACUGAAUUCUGGCACUUCUGUGUUAAAGGGGUGUUUGCUGCUGUCUCAUUGCUUAAUUUUGGAAUUGGAAGUCUUGUUCUGAAAAUCUAACCCUCCUGCUACCAACUCCUGUUCCCUGGAGCUGAUCUAGGAGAAUGCCAUGGCCAAUGUUAUCGACAGCUUAAGAGAGAUGUACAACCGCAGCAAAGAUUUUAUAUGCGCAGAAGUGGAAGGAAACGGCAAUACCCACAAAAGAAGAAUGGAUCAACAAACUAAUGGACUAUGCCAAAAUGGCAAAAUUACCUGCUAGACUAAGAGCCUCUACUGAUGAGUUUUUUUGUAGAAGAAUAGAAGCCCUUUUCGGAUUACAAGUAAAUACUUUUAUUUCUUGUCCAAUACGAGAUGGAUUUAUAUCUCGUGCAACAGAAGAACAAGAAUAUGUUAUUUUCAGGUUUAUAUUUUAUACUUUGUGUCAUGUUAGAAACAAGUGGAUAGUUCAGACAGUGGAGAUACAACGUCUUAUUGCUAUGGGAAGUCACAGAAACAUAAGAAUGGUAGCGCAUGAUGUUCUUAAUAUUUGUUAUGUGAAAACCAUAUAUAUAUAUGGGGUUUUCACAUAAUACAUAUUAUGUAUAUGUGAGAGACAGAAGUCAAGAAGCAGGAGCAAUGUUGUACUCCCCGUGUCCCACUCUCUGCAAACGUCAUCCAUCCAGGUAGCCAAAGCCAACUCAGCCCCAUGGCCAGUCCUGAAGCCAGGUUGGAAAGGAUCUAAAUAAUCUCUGCCAUCCAAUAAUGCUUGUAGCUGCCCUAUCACAACCCUCUCCACCACCUCCCCCAAUUGGGUAUUUGCAACAGGUUGAUUGUUCCAAUCCCAAAGGUCAAAAUCCAGUUUAUUUGGGAGAGGCCGCACUACAACUUCUUUCAAUGGAGCAGGGACCAUCCCUUCAUACAUUGGAUUGCUCUGCAUCUGUCCCAAGGGUCAAACUACAUAGUGUCACAAGUUUGUGUAAGUCCGUUCAGAUGAUGUUAUUGGAACCCUUCCAGGCCAGUGAUUCUGUAUCCAGCGAGGGUGAGAAUCUAGUAGAAGAGGUUGCUGAACCAGUCAGACUUUUUUUUGGUAAGAAAAUGACUUUAACUGGCCACAGAAGGAGUCUCUCUUUCUCUUUUUUAAUUUUUAUCGACAGCUUAAUUUUUUAAUUUUUAUUGGAAUUUUAUUUACAACAUAACACAACCCCCCACCCCAAUACACUAAUCCACCCUCAUUAAACAUGAACAUAGUGAGCAUAACAUACAACAAUACAAACAACCAAAUAAAAGACUUCCUUUAUCCUG
rnacentral:lncRNA from 1 species